UUAUGACAACUAGUACCACUGUCACGUAAGAGUGUGUUGUGCACGUUUUGCAUGCACGGGUUAGAAUUCAAAACAACAUUCCAAACUUUAGUUGCAUUUGUGUAUUUAAUAUUAGGAAACAUUUUAUUUGAGACUUAGUUACUUAGUUAGCUUAGUUACUUACCAUGACAGCUAAAUACGUAUUCAUAAAUAUUUCAUAAAUAUAUUCAGGCCUGCAGCCAGAGACUGAAAACUGUGUUAUGUUCAAUAUUUAACAUGCAGCCAGCUUGUACCCUAUUACUCAAGGAAGCCAUCGAAUUGAGAAUGAUUGGAGCUCGAAACCAAAAAGUAUCAGCAUCAUCCUAUCCUGCAGGAUCGGAACAGAAAGCAAGGCGGUACCGUUUUGCGGGGUGUCAUUGGGCCAAAGUGGAGUGACAUUGGACUAUUUUAUACGUUUAGAAUACGACGGAAAUGCAUAUUGUGUGCUAAACUAUACUAUACUAGGAUACAUAAUUCUGAGAUACUUUGCAUCCACCGUCGUAUUCUCUGACUUAUAUUGAAUCCAUGUGAUCGGUGGACCAAUGUCACCCCGAACGACGGUACCUAGAGUGAUGUUCAUCAAAAAGGCUGGUCUUAUCAAUGCUGAUUGUCAGCUUAUCCAAAAAGUUAUUAGAUGUACUUGUCGUACGUUUAGUGUGCGAAGGGGAAUCAAAAGGAAUGAACAAUGAAACUAUGAUCAAAACGAGCAUCAAGGUGCAUCAAUGAAAUUGUAAACAUAUCUCUAAUGUAGCAAUAUGUGAUCACAAUGACACAAUCUGGGCGCAAUAAAAGUCGAGUAUUUGAAAAUAGAAACAUUGGGUAUUCGUGAAUUGAGAAAAACAAACAAAAGAAAAUGAUUCUAAAAAUAACCAUUUAUUGCACAACUUUAUGAUAAUCACGAAGCUACACUGAUUGCCUUCAUCAUCGUACUGCAGCGACCGUCGAGGUUUGGGAACAUGAUUGCUGACUAAUUUCCAGGUAUUCGGUUUCAUAAGCUUCAGGUGUUGCCAUUGCCGUCCAUGGAGUAUCUUCCGGAGUGGUUUCCAGAUGACUGUCAC